rnacentral:rRNA from 1 species
CCUACGGGAGGCAGCAGUGAGGAAUAUUGGUCAAUGGGCGGAAGCCUGAACCAGCCAAGUCGCGUGAGGGAGUAAGGCCCUACGGGUCGUAAACCUCUUUUGCCGGGGAGCAGUGCCCAGCUCGUGAGCUGGGAGGGAGCGUACCCGGAGAAAAAGCAUCGGCUAACUCCGUGCCAGCAGCCGCGGUAAUACGGAGGGUGCAAGCGUUACUCGGAAUCACUGGGCGUAAAGAGUGCGCAGGCGGGCUUGUAAGUCAGAUGUGAAAUCCUGUAGCUUAACUACAGAACUGCAUUUGAAACUAUGAGUCUAGAGUGUGGGAGAGGUAGGUGGAAUUCUUGGUGUAGGGGUAAAAUCCGUAGAUAUCAAGAGGAAUACUCAUUGCGAAGGCGACCUACUGGAACAUUACUGACGCUCAUGCACGAAAGCGUGGGUAGCAAACAGGAUUAGAUACCCCUGUAGUC